rnacentral:lncRNA from 1 species
CAUGAUGAAUUUUUUAUUGCAUAAAUUAAUAUAUUUGUACACAAAUCCUUUUCCUUUUGUGAAAAAUUAAAGAUAUGAAAAGAAAAGACAUGAUUUUGUUCUGUUGAAAUUAAGGAUUUUGGCCCACCAAUUAUCACAAUCUCUAACAAGAGAGAAGGAACUACUCUUUGGAAGAGGUGUUGCAUCAAGAGAACCCAAAAAAAAAAAAAAACAAAUGAAAAUUUCUUCAUAUAUGUCCAUAAGGACGUAAAUGGCCAUGUUGAUCGGUAUCAAAAUUGGGCUUUCCAAGCUGAAUCUGGUCUCGUCACCUAGAGAACAAAGCACCGGCACAUCGGCUGCUGCUCCGAGAAAAGAUGGAGGCAACAGAAUGUGCCAGACCCAACACUAUAGCCACCUUUACUUGUCCCCUCUUGGGAAUCGGACGGCCAGCAAUUCUCUGACAGUAAAUCCCACCCUUCGUCAUUGCCCUCCUCGUACCACCCAUAUGUAUCUUCUUCUCUUUGCUGAUUAAACCUUUUCGGAGAUUUUAACGUUUGCAGUAGUGAAGUAGACCCAAGUACUGAAAUCUAAAGGUUGUGAUGCCAGAUGUGUCUGAAUUUUAGAUUGAGUUUUGCAGGCAGGAAGGUGCCCUUUAUAUAGAGCCUCUAUAUGCUUGAAAUCCAACAAUAAUCAACCAAU